rnacentral:rRNA from 1 species
UACGUAGGGUGCGAGCGUUAAUCGGAAUUACUGGGCGUAAAGCGUGCGCAGGCGGUCUGUUAAGACCGAUGUGAAAUCCCCGGGCUUAACCUGGGAACUGCAUUGGUGACUGGCAGGCUUUGAGUGUGGCAGAGGGGGGUAGAAUUCCGACGUGUAGCAGUGAAAUGCGUAGAGAUCGGGAAGAACGCCAAGGGCGAAGGCACUCUGCUAGGCCUGAUUUCGCGACUGACACUCAGGGACGAGAGCCAGGGGAGCGAAUGGG